AUGAUCUCUACAUCCCUACUGCUGCUGCUGCUGGCAGCCGUACACUGUGUUCACAGUGUUGAGCUGAUCCAGACCGGAUCCACAGUAUUAACUCCUGGUCAGUCACUGACUCUGACCUGUAAAGUGUCUGGAUAUUCAGUAACUGAUAGCAGCUACUGUACAGACUGGAUAGGACAACCUGCAGGAAAAACUCUGGAAUGGAUCGGAGAGAUAUGUGGUGAUGGUAACACUUACUACAGUGAGAAACUGAAAAGCAGGUUUCAGGUUUCCAGAGACACGUCCAGCAGCACAGUGACAUUAACAGGACAGAACAUGCAGACUGAAGACACAGCUGUGUAUUACUGCGCUCGUAAUUAUCACCAACGUGUAUUUUACAAAAUUAUCACAACAAGAACUGUAACUAUAAACAUGAAGAGUUCACCAUAUUCUUCUUUAAUUAAUAAAUAA